rnacentral:rRNA from 1 species
CGCUAAAUCAACAAAGAGGGUAGGAACAGGCCUAUCAGUUGGGUACCGGAAGGACUACAUGAGAAAGUAUCCGCGCCCCAGUGAGAAUGCCCUCUAAAUCAUACCUGAUUAAAAGGAGCGGGCAUCAAGCACACUACAAAGUAGCUCAUGACGCCUUGCUUAACCACACCCCCACGGGAAACAGCAGUGAUAAAAAUUAAGCCAUGAACGAAAGUUCGACUAAGUUAUACCUAUUCCUUAGGGUUGGUAAAUUUCGUGCCAGCCACCGCGGUCACACGAUUAACCCAAAUCAACAGAAAUACGGCGUAAAGCGUGUUUAAGAGUGCAAAAAAAUAAAGUUAAAUUCUAGCUAAGCCGUAAAAAGCCAUAGCUAAAAUAAAAAUAAACUACGAAAGUGACUUUACGAAUUCUGAACACACGAUAGCUAAGACCCAAACUGGGAUUAGAUACCCCACUAUGCUUAGCCCUAAACCUAAACAAUCAACACAACAACAUUAUUCGCCAGAGUACUACUAGCAAUAGCUUAAAACUCAAAGGACUUGGCGGUGCUUUUACCCCUCUAGAGGAGCUGUCCUUAAUCGAUAAACCCCGAUAGACCUCACCAGCUCUUGCAAUUUGCUUAUAUCCGCCUCCUCAGCAAACCCUAAAAGGAACUGCGGUAGCACAAACU